UACGUAGGGGGCGAGCGUUGUCCGGAUUUAUUGGGCGUAAAGAGCGUGUAGGCGGCCAGGUAGGUCCGUUGUGAAAACUCGAGGCUCAACCUCGAGACGUCGAUGGAAACCAUCUGGCUAGAGUCCGGAAGAGGAGAGUGGAAUUCCUGGUGUAGCGGUGAAAUGCGCAGAUAUCAGGAAGAACACCCGUGGCGAAGGCGGCUCUCUGGUACGUGACUGACGCUGAGACGCGAAAGCGUGGGGAGCAAACAGG
rnacentral:rRNA from 1 species